GGGCCCGUAGUCUAGCUGGCUAGGACGCCGCCCUGACGCGGCGGAGGUCACCGGUUCAAAUCCGGUCGGGCCCA
rnacentral:tRNA from 1 species